UAGGGAAUCUUCCGCAAUGGGCGAAAGCUUGACGGAGCAACGCCGCGUGAGUGAUGAAGGUCUUCGGAUCGUAAAACUCUGUUAUUAGGGAAGAACAAAUGUGUAAGUAACUAUGCACGUCUUGACGGUACCUAAUCAGAAAGCCACGGCUAACUACGUGCCAGCAGCCGCGGUAAUACGUAGGUGGCAAGCGUUAUCCGGAAUUAUUGGGCGUAAAGCGCGCGUAGGCGGUUUUUUAAGUCUGAUGUGAAAGCCCACGGCUCAACCGUGGAGGGUCAUUGGAAACUGGGAAACUUGAGUGCAGAAGAGGAAAGUGGAGUUCCAUGUGUGGCGGUGAAAUGCGCAGAGAUAUGGAGGAACACCAGUGGCGAAGGCGACUUUCUGGUCUGUAACUGACGCUGAUGUGCGAAAGCGGGGGGAUCAAACAGG
rnacentral:rRNA from 1 species